rnacentral:rRNA from 1 species
UACGGAGGGUGCAAGCGUUAUCCGGAUUCACUGGGCUUAAAGGGUGCGUAGGUGGGCAGGUAAGUCAGUGGUGAAAUCUCCGGGCUUAACUCAGAAACUGCCAUGGAUACUAUUUGUCUUGAAUGUUGUGGAGGUAAGCGGAAUAUGUCAUGUAGCGGUGAAAUGCUUAGAUAUGACAUAGAACACCAAUUGCGAAGGCAGCUUACUACACAAAUAUUGACGCUGAGGCACGAAAGCGUGGGGAUCAAACAGG